GCUGAGGCGUGAUGACGAGGCACUACGGUGCUGAAGCAACAAAUGCCCUGCUUCCAGGAAAAGCCUCUAAGCAUCAGGUAACAUCAAAUCGUACCCCAAACCGACACAGGUGGUCAGGUAGAGAAUACCAAGGCGCUUGAGAGAACUCGGGUGAAGGAACUAGGCAAAAUGGUGCCGUAACUUCGGGAGAAGGCACGCUGAUAUGUAGGUGAAGUCCCUCGCGGAUGGAGCUGAAAUCAGUCGAAGAUACCAGCUGGCUGCAACUGUUUAUUAAAAACACAGCACUGUGCAAACACGAAAGUGGACGUAUACGGUGUGACGCCUGCCCGGUGCCGGAAGGUUAAUUGAUGGGGUCAGCGCAAGCGAAGCUCUUGAUCGAAGCCCCGGUAAACGGCGGCCGUAACUAUAACGGUCCUAAGGUAGCGAAAUUCCUUGUCGGGUAAGUUCCGACCUGCACGAAUGGCGUAAUGAUGGCCAGGCUGUCUCCACCCGAGACUCAGUGAAAUUGAACUCGCUGUGAAGAUGCAGUGUACCCGCGGCAAGACGGAAAGACCCCGUGAACCUUUACUAUAGCUUGACACUGAACAUUGAGCCUUGAUGUGUAGGAUAGGUGGGAGGCUUAGAAGUGUGGACGCCAGUCUGCAUGGAGCCGACCUUGAAAUACCACCCUUUAAUGUUUGAUGUUCUAACGUUGACCCGUAAUCCGGGUUGCGGACAGUGUCUGGUGGGUAGUUUGACUGGGGCGGUCUCCUCCUAAAGAGUAACGGAGGAGCACGAAGGUUGGCUAAUCCUGGUCGGACAUCAGGAGGUUAGUGCAAUGGCAUAAGCCAGCUUGACUGCGAGCGUGACGGCGCGAGCAGGUGCGAAAGCAGGUCAUAGUGAUCCGGUGGUUCUGAAUGGAAGGGCCAUCGCUCAACGGAUAAAAGGUACUCCGGGGAUAACAGGCUGAUACCGCCCAAGAGUUCAUAUCGACGGCGGUGUUUGGCACCUCGAUGUCGGCUCAUCACAUCCUGGGGCUGAAGUAGGUCCCAAGGGUAUGGCUGUUCGCCAUUUAAAGUGGUACGCGAGCUGGGUUUAGAACGUCGUGAGACAGUUCGGUCCCUAUCUGCCGUGGGCGCUGGAGAACUGAGGGGGGCUGCUCCUAGUACGAGAGGACCGGAGUGGACGCAUCACUGGUGUUCGGGUUGUCAUGCCAAUGGCACUGCCCGGUAGCUAAAUGCGGAAGAGAUAAGUGCUGAAAGCAUCUAAGCACGAAACUUGCC
rnacentral:rRNA from 1 species